GAUGAACGCUGGCGGCGUGCCUAAUACAUGCAAGUCGAGCGAACAGACGAGGAGCUUGCUCCUCUGACGUUAGCGGCGGACGGGUGAGUAACACGUGGAUAACCUACCUAUAAGACUGGGAUAACUUCGGGAAACCGGAGCUAAUACCGGAUAAUAUAUUGAACCGCAUGGUUCAAUAGUGAAAGACGGUUUUGCUGUCACUUAUAGAUGGAUCCGCGCCGCAUUAGCUAGUUGGUAAGGUAACGGCUUACCAAGGCAACGAUGCGUAGCCGACCUGAGAGGGUGAUCGGCCACACGGGAACUGAGAAACGGUCCAGACUCCUACGGGAGGCAGCAGUAGGGAAUCUUCCGCAAUGGGCGAAAGCUUGACGGAGCAACGCCGCGUGAGUGAUGAAGGUCUUCGGAUCGUAAAACUCUGUUAUUAGGGAAGAACAAAUGUGUAAGUAACUAUGCACGUCUUGACGGUACCGAAGCAGAAAGCCACGGCUAACUACGU
rnacentral:rRNA from 1 species